rnacentral:rRNA from 1 species
GCUACUGCCAUCAGAGUUCGAUUAGGCCAUGUUAGUCGAGGGUACCUCUUCUUCUUCGGAGGAUGAGGUAACCCGGCGGACGGCUCAGUAACACGUGGAUAACUUGCCCUUGGGUCUGGGAUAACCCCUGGGAAACUGGGGCUAAUACCGGAUAGAGCAUCGAUCGCUGGAAUGCAUGAUGCUCGAAAACUACGGUGCCCAAGGAUAGGUCUGCGGCUGAUUAGGUUGUUGUUGAUGUAAUGGACCAACAAGCCUACGAUCGGUACGGGUUGUGAGAGCAAUAGCCCGGAGAUGGGUUCUGAGAAAAGGACCCAGGUCCUACGGGACGCAUCAGGCGCGAAAACUUUACAAUGUGCGAAAGCACGAUAAGGGAACUCUGAGUGCCCCCUAAGGGGGCUGUUCUAGUGUCUAAAAAGCAAUAGAAGUAAGGGCUGGGCAAGACCGGUGCCAGCCGCCGCGGUAACACCGGCAGCCCAAGUGGUAGCCACGUUUAUUGGGUCUAAAGCGUUCGUAGCCGGCUUGGUAAGUUCCUUGGUAAAUUUAGCCGCUUAACGGUUAAGCUUUCAGGGAAUACUGCUUGGCUUGGGACUGGGAGAGGUCAGAGGUACUCCAGGGGUAGGGGUGAAAUCCAUUAAUCCUUGGGGGACCACCGGUAGCGAAGGCGUCUGACCAGACCAGCUCCGACGGUGAGGGACGAAGGCUAGGGGCGCGAACCGGAUUAGAUACCCGGGUAGUCCUAGCUGUAAACGAUGCGGGCUAGGUGUUGGCAUUACUGCGAGUGGUGCCAGUGCCGAAAGGGAAGCCGUUUAAAG